rnacentral:rRNA from 1 species
AGAGUUUGAUCAUGGCUCAGAUUGAACGCUGGCGGCAGGCCUAACACAUGCAAGUCGAGCGGCAGCACAAGUAAGUUUACUUAUGAGGUGGCGAGCGGCGGACGGGUGAGUAAUGCCUAGGGAUCUGCCCAGUCGAGGGGGAUAACAGUUGGAAACGACUGCUAAUACCGCAUACGCCCUACGGGGGAAAGGAGGGGACCUUUUGGCCUUCCGCGAUUGGAUGAACCUAGGUAGGAUUAGCUAGUUGGUGAGGUAAUGGCUCACCAAGGCGACGAUCCCUAGCUGUUCUGAGAGGAUGAUCAGCCACACUGGGACUGAGACACGGCCCAGACUCCUACGGGAGGCAGCAGUGGGGAAUAUUGCACAAUGGGGGAAACCCUGAUGCAGCCAUGCCGCGUGUGUGAAGAAGGCCUUCGGGUUGUAAAGCACUUUCAGUAGGGAGGAAAGGUUGUAAGUUAAUACCUUGCAGCUGUGACGUUACCUACAGAAGAAGGACCGGCUAACUCCGUGCCAGCAGCCGCGGUAAUACGGAGGGUCCAAGCGUUAAUCGGAAUUACUGGGCGUAAAGCGUGCGCAGGCGGUUUGUUAAGCGAGAUGUGAAAGCCCCGGGCUCAACCUGGGAAUUGCAUUUCGAACUGGCAAACUAGAGUCUUGUAGAGGGGGGUAGAAUUCCAGGUGUAGCGGUGAAAUGCGUAGAGAUCUGGAGGAAUACCGGUGGCGAAGGCGGCCCCCUGGACAAAGACUGACGCUCAGGCACGAAAGCGUGGGGAGCAAACAGGAUUAGAUACCCUGGUAGUCCACGCCGUAAACGAUGUCUACUCGGAGUUUGGUGUCUUGAACACUGGGCUCUCAAGCUAACGCAUUAAGUAGACCGCCUGGGGAGUACGGCCGCAAGAUUAAAACUCAAAGGAAUAGACGGGGACCCGCACAAGUGGUGGAGCAUGUGGUUUAAUUCGAAGAUACGCGAAGAACCUUACCUAGCCUUGACAUUGAUAGAAUCCGAUGGAAACAUUGGAGUGCCAGUUUACUGGAGCUUGAAAACAGGUGCUGCACGGCUGUCGUCAGCUCGUGUCGUGAGAUGUUGGGUUAAGUCCCGCAACGAGCGCAACCCUCGUCCUUAGUUACUAACGGUUCGGCCGAGGACUCUAAGGAGACUGCCUUCGUAAGGAGGAGGAAGGUGAGGACGACGUCAAGUCAUCAUGGCCCUUACGGCUAGGGCGACACACGUGCUACAAUGGAUAGGACAAUGAGACGCAAUACCGUGAGGUGGAGCAAAUCUAUAAACCUAUUCUCAGUUCGGAUUGUAGUCUGCAACUCGACUACAUGAAGCUGGAAUCACUAGUAAUCGUAGAUCAGCCAUGCUACGGUGAAUACGUUCCCGGGUCUUGUACUCACCGCCCGUCACACCAUGGGAGUUGAUUUCACCCGAAGCGGGGAAGCUAAACUGGCUACCCUCCACGGUGGAAUCAGCGACUGGGGUGAAGUCGUAACAAGGUAGCCAAGGGCGAA